rnacentral:rRNA from 1 species
GUUAGGAAUAUUGGACAAUGGGCGCAAGCCUGAUCCAGCCAUGCCGCGUGAGUGAUGAAGGCCUUCGGGUUGUAAAGCUCUUUAGCUGAUGAUUAUAAUGACUGUAGUCGGAAAAUAAGCCCCGGCUAACUUCGUGCCAGCAGCCGCGGUAAUACGAAGGGGGCGAGCGUUAUUCGGAAUCACUGGGCGUAAAGCGUGCGUAGGCGGCUUUGCAAGUUGGGAGUGAAAGCCCAGGGCUCAACCCUGGAAUUGCUCUCAAAACUGCAAGGCUCGAAUUCGGGAGAGGAUAGCGGAAUUGUCAGUGUAGCAGUGAAAUGCGUAGAUAUUGACAGGAACACCAGUGGCGUAAGCGGCUAUCUGGACCGAUAUUGACGCUGAGGCACGAAAGCGUGGGGAUCAAACAGGAUUAGAUACCCCUGUAGUCC